rnacentral:rRNA from 1 species
UGGGGAAUAUUGCACAAUGGAGGGAACUCUGAUGCAGCGACGCCGCGUGAGCGAAGAAGGCUUUCGAGUCGUAAAGUUCUUUUAUAUGGGAAGAUAAUGACGGUACCAUAAGAAGAAGCCCCGGCUAACUACGUGCCAGCAGCCGCGGUAAUACGUAGGGGGCUAGCGUUGUCCGGAAUCACUGGGCGUAAAGGGUUCGCAGGCGGAAAUGCAAGUCAGGUGUAAAAGGCAGUAGCUUAACUACUGUAAGCAUUUGAAACUGCAUAUCUUGAGACGAGUAGAGGUAAGUGGAAUUUUUAGUGUAGCGGUGAAAUGCGUAGAUAUUAAAAAGAAUACCGGUGGCGAAGGCGACUUACUGGGCUCAUUCUGACGCUGAGGAACGAAAGCGUGGGUAGCAAACAGG